rnacentral:rRNA from 1 species
GAUGAACGCUGGCGGCGUGCUUAACACAUGCAAGUCGAACGAUGAAGCCCAGCUUGCUGGGUGGAUUAGUGGCGAACGGGUGAGUAACACGUGAGCAACCUGCCCCGGACUCUGGGAUAAGCGCUGGAAACGGCGUCUAAUACUGGAUAUGUCCCGUCACCGCAUGGUGUGCGGGUGGAAAGAUUUUUCGGUUGGGGAUGGGCUCGCGGCCUAUCAGCUUGUUGGUGAGGUAAUGGCUCACCAAGGCGUCGACGGGUAGCCGGCCUGAGAGGGUGACCGGCCACACUGGGACUGAGACACGGCCCAGACUCCUACGGGAGGCAGCAGUGGGGAAUAUUGCACAAUGGGCGGAAGCCUGAUGCAGCAACGCCGCGUGAGGGAUGACGGCCUUCGGGUUGUAAACCUCUUUUAGCAGGGAAGAAGCGAAAGUGACGGUACCUGCAGAAAAAGCACCGGCUAACUACGUG